CCUACGGGUGGCAGCAGUGGGGAAUAUUGGGCAAUGGGCGCAAGCCUGACCCAGCAACGCCGCGUGAAGGAAGAAGGCUUUCGGGUUGUAAACUUCUUUUGUCAGGGAAGCGUAGAAGACGGUACCUGACUAAGAAGCCGCGGCUAACUACGUGCCAGCAGCCGCGGUAAUACGUAGGGGGCAAGCGUUAUCCGGAUUUACUGGGUGUAAAGGGAGCGUAGAGGGCAAGGCAAGCCAGAAGUGAAAGGGCAGGGCUCAACCCUGUACAUGCUUUUGAAACUGUGGUGCUAGAGUGCCGGAGAGGUAAGCGGAAUUCCUGGUGUAGCGGUGAAAUGCGUAGAUAUUAGGAGGAACUCCAGUGGCGAAGGCGGCCUGCUGGCGGACAACUGACGGUGAGGCGCGAAAGCGUGGGGAGCGAACAGGAUUAGAUACCCUGGUAGUC
rnacentral:rRNA from 1 species